rnacentral:rRNA from 1 species
UAUGACCUACGGGACGCAGCAGUGGGGAAUAUUGCGCAUUGGGCGAAAGCCUGACGCAGCGACGCCGCGUGAGGGAUGAAGGUCUUCGGAUCGUAAACCUCUGUCAGCAGGGAAGAACGGUUACUGUGCUAAUCAGCAGUGAAUUGACGGUACCUGCAAAGGAAGCACCGGCCAACUCCGUGCCAGCAGCCGCGGUAAUACGGAGGGUGCGAGCGUUAAUCGGAAUUACUGGGCGUAAAGCGCUCGUAGGCGGUAUGUCAAGUCAAGGGUGAAAUCCCCGCGCUCAACGUGGGAACUGUCUUUGA